GGAAGUAAAAGACGUAACAAGGUCUCCGUUGGUGAACCAGCGGAGGGAUCAUUACCGAGUUUACAACUCCCAAACCCCAUGUGAACCUUACCAAACGUUGCUUCGGCGGGAUGCCCCGGGCGCGGGCCGCGAGGCCUCAGCCCCGGAACCAGGCGCCCGCCGGAGGCCCAAACCAAACUCUUGUUUUUGUAGAAUCUUCUGAGUGGCCUUUUAGGCAAAAAAUGAAUCAAAACUUUCAACAACGGAUCUCUUGGUUCUG
rnacentral:misc_RNA from 1 species